rnacentral:rRNA from 1 species
AUACGGAGGGUCCAAGCGUUAUCCGGAUUCAUUGGGUUUCAAGGGUCCGCAGGCGGGAAAAUAAGUCAGUGGUGAAAGCCUACAGCUCAACUGUAGAACUGCCAUUGAUACUGUUCUUCUUGAGUAUAGAUGAAGUGGGCGGAAUAUAUCAUGUAGCGGUGAAAUGCAUAGAUAUGAUAUAGAACACCGAUUGCGAAGGCAGCUCACUAAACUAUUACUGACGCUCAGGGACGAAAGCGUGGGGAGCGAACAGGAUUAGAUACCCUAGUAGUCC